ACUCCUACGGGAGGCAGCAGUGGGGAAUUUUGGGCAAUGGGCGAAAGCCUGACCCAGCAACGCCGCGUGAAGGAUGAAAUCCCUCGGGAUGUAAACUUCGCAAGAACGGGAAGAAUAAGUAGGGGACAAUACCCCCUAUGAUGACGGUACCGUUUGUAAGCUCCGGCUAACUCCGUGCCAGCAGCCGCGGUAAUACGGGGGGAGCAAGCGUUGUUCGGAUUUACUGGGCGUAAAGGGCGCGUAGGCGGUCAGCACAAGUCAAUUGUGAAAUCUCCGAGCUUAACUCGGAAAGGUCAACUGAAACUGUGCGACUAGAGUGCGGAAGGGGCAACUGGAAUUCUUGGUGUAGCGGUGAAAUGCGUAGAUAUCAAGAGGAACACCUGCGGCGAAGGCGGGUUGCUGGGCCGACACUGACGCUGAAGCGCGAAAGCCAGGGGAGCGAACGGGAUUAGAUACCCCGGUAGUCCUGGCCCUAAACGAUGAAUGCUUGGUGUCUGGGGUUAUAAAGUCCCCGGGUGCCGUCGCUAACGCUUUAAGCAUUCCGCCUGGGGAGUACGGUCGCAAGACUGAAACUCAAAGGAAUUGACGGGGACCCGCACAAGCGGUGGAGCAUGUGGUUUAAUUCGACGCAACGCGAAGAACCUUACCUGGGCUAGAAUGCCUCUGACAACCCUAGAGAUAGGGCCUCCAAGGUAAAACUUGGCAGAGUGCAAGGUGCUGCAUGGCUGUCGUCAGCUCGUGUCGUGAGAUGUUGGGUUAAGUCCCGCAACGAGCGCAACCCUUAUCUUUAGUUGCCAGCAUUAAGUUGGGCACUCUAGAGAGACUGCCGUUGACAAAACGGAGGAAGGUGGGGAUGACGUCAAGUCCUCAUGGCCUUUAUGUCCAGGGCUACACACGUGCUACAAUGGCCGGUACAAACCGCCGCAAACUCGCAAGAGGGAGCCAAUCGGAAAAAGCCGGUCUCAGUUCGGAUUGGAGUCUGCAACUCGACUCCAUGAAGUUGGAAUCGCUAGUAA
rnacentral:rRNA from 1 species